UAAAACUCAAAGAAAUUGACGGGGGCCCGCACAAGCGGCGGAGCAUGUGGAUUAAUUCGAUGCAACGCGAAGAACCUUACCUGGGUUUGACAUGCACAGGACGCCAGUAGAGAUAUUGGUUCCCUUGUGGCCUGUGUGCAGGUGGUGCAUGGCUGUCGUCAGCUCGUGUCGUGAGAUGUUGGGUUAAGUCCCGCAACGAGCGCAACCCUUGUCUCAUGUUGCCAGCACGUAAUGGUGGGGACUCGUGAGAGACUGCCGGGGUCAACUCGGAGGAAGGUGGGGAUGACGUCAAGUCAUCAUGCCCCUUAUGUCCAGGGCUUCACACAUGCUACAAUGGCCGGUACAAAGGGCUGCGAUGCCGUGAGGUGGAGCGAAUCCUUUCAAAGCCGGUCUCAGUUCGGAUCGGGGUCUGCAACUCGACCCCGUGAAGUCGGAGUCGCUAGUAAUCGCAGAUCAGCAACGCUGCGGUGAAUACGUUCCCGGGCCUUGUACACACCGCCCGUCACGUCAUGAAAGUCGGUAACACCCGAAGCCGGUGGCCUAACCCCUUGUGGGAGGGA
rnacentral:rRNA from 1 species